AAGACCUUGCGCUUUUGGAGCGGCCGAUGCCUGAUUAGCUUGUUGGUAAGGUAAAAGCUUACCAAGGCUUCGAUCAGUAGCUGGUCUGAGAGGACGACCAGCCACACUGGGACUGAGACACGGCCCAGACUCCUACGGGAGGCAGCAGUGGGGAAUUUUGGACAAUGGGGACAACCCUGAUCCAGCCAUGCCGCGUGAGUGAAGAAGGCCUUCGGGUUGUAAAGCUCUUUCAGCCGGAACGAAACGGUUACGGUUAAUACCCGUGACUACUGACGGUACCGGAAGAAGAAGCACCGGCUAACUACGUGCCAGCAGCCGCGGUAAUACGUAGGGUGCGAGCGUUAAUCGGAAUUACUGGGCGUAAAGCGUGCGCAGGUGGUUUUGUAAGUCAGAUGUGAAAGCCCCGGGCUCAACCUGGGAACU
rnacentral:rRNA from 1 species